rnacentral:misc_RNA from 1 species
GACGCGCCAUCUACUUCAGUCAGUCCCCAAGUGAAAGAUUUUUUUCUUGUGGGUUCGUGCGGUAUCCUGUGUUGCCUACCAAUGAAAUGGAAUUUGAUUGUUUYGCCGGUUUGUAUCCGCCUUGUGCCCUUCGGGGYGCGAGGUGGACAUGAGGCAAGCACUGUGAUCCCAACAUCCCUAGCCCAUUUACGCUAGGUUGUCGUGGCCCAUGGUGUCUUUGCUUGUUCUCUCGGAUGCAGAAAGCUAUGUGUGGGCACGAGGCCUCGGCCUUGAAUUGUCCAAGCACUGUCCCUUGACUCGAAUGACUGCUGCMCUCGUGUUGUUCCUCCCGACCAAGGCCUCGUAAUGGGGUUUACUGGACGAGGGAGGAUCAUGCGGGUGUUGGCGUCAAAGAGGAAAGC